GAGUUUAUAGCUCAGUUGGUAGAGCAAUGAGCUUUUAACUCAAGGGUCGUAGGUUCAAAUCCUACUAAACUCA
rnacentral:tRNA from 1 species